rnacentral:lncRNA from 1 species
GCCUGGCCAUGACUCAUAGCAGGAAGGCGAAGAAGAUGGUUGAGUCCACCCCGGUGGUCGGAGAUCGGUUAUAAAGGAGAGAGUCCUCCAGAUCCAUUGUCUCUUUCCUCCAGAAUUCUCCUCUAUGCUUUUCUCUCUCCUCUAUGAGGACGACCGACGCUUGAUCUAUGGGUUUUGGCCUUCCAGGAUCUGAUUGGGUGGGGUUUUGGCUUUGUUCUCUGGAUUUUGAUGCAGGGGUUGUAAAUACGCUCGGGAGAGAUUUGCUAAACAAUAUUCAGCAGGUAAUUUCAUGUUGUUUACCCUGUAGACUUGAGACUAAUACACAAAAGCUUAGACUUUUAAUUUUCUUUCAAGUAUAUUGUUGAUAGAAUGUAGUAACAAGCCCGUAUAUGUUCUAGAUAAUCUCUCUUUUCUUUGUUUGCUUUCUCCGUGGAAUAUCUGCGAGUGAUACACCUCGGACAAGUACCAUUUUGUGUAUGUUGAUUUACCAAUGGGUUCCAUUGGAUGAUUGUGAUGUAAUAAUUCUAUGGAGUAUACCACAUUUUAAAACGAUUUCUUGCCAUAAUGAAAACUGAACCUGUGGAUUGAACUAAUUGUCAAUGACUUGGGGAGCAUCAUGCCUAGACAUGUAUAAUGCUUGUAGAUUCAUCUUCUGUUAGUAUUGUGAUAUCAGAAAACACAUAAUACUAUCAGAUAUAAUUGUAGCACACUCCAAUUUUAACACUUAAUAUGUCGUGUGUGAAAUUGAAUAUAGUUGCUGGUAACUAGCAUAUCUGAAUAACUAUUCUCAUUCAGCUGGUACACAAAUGAAAAUUGACUGUAAGUUAUCCUCUAUUCUAGUUCAUUUGUAUUUAAUAUUUAUGUCCUAACGACAAAUAUUUGAGUAUGUCUGGGAUCAGCUUGACAAGAUGCCCAUGACCAAGGAGAAGGGUUCUGGUUCACGUGUAAGGUAAGCUUAUUUGGUGUGAACACAGUUUGAGCUUUUGAUUCAUGGUAAACUUGAUUUAGUGUUCAAUAUAUAUGAACGGUUUACAUUCUUUAUGCCAAUCAAGAUUCAUGUUUGAGUGAGGAAUAUAUAUGAAUGAUUUUAGAUCUGUUGAGUUUUUCCUUGGCAGUAUUUUUUUGAAAGGUUUGGCUUUCUAAUAUUUUACGCUUUACUAGCAACGAGGUUCUAAUAUUUUGCUUCUUAUUAUUGCUCUUGGUUCCAAUUACUGCUGCAAUUCUUGUAUGUACGUUGUUCAUGUUUAUUAACCCUUGUUUGGAUUCAGCUGAAAAAUAUAUGUAUUAGUAACUUAAGGUGUUAAUUUGGUAGGGCUUGCUCUGAAUUUAUUCUUUGUUAAGAUAGAAUUAUGCUUUGUGAAAAUUAUGAUUUUACCCGUUGCCUACUGCCCCAAGUUUGUUUAAUGGUGUUUAAACCCCUUAGAAAAUAUAUUCCAGGUUUUAGUGUGUUAUGUUUGUGAGGCCUCUGAUGGUAUUGUGAAUUCUGGAGGAAUAUAGGUGCAUUUGAUACAAUGAAGGAGAAUGGUGGAGCAGUUUGAGAAAAGUUCUUAUGGUCUUAUGGUUCUCGCUCCUUGCGAAACAUAAGCACGAAAAGAAGUGAGUAUCCCUGACAUUUUAUAUAUGAUAGAAGAGUCAUUUGAGUAUGAGAUUUACAGAUGCAAUUGGUAUGUAAAUUUUAAGAUCUUUACAUGUUGAGGUGAAUUCAUAAGAUCUUUUGCAAUUGGUACAUACAUAUUAAGAUCAUAAAGAAUCUGCUCAUAAGAUACUUCAAUGAGGUGAAUUCAUUUUUUCUGUGUGUAGCGCCUCUUUGUUUCGUUAUCUUUGCAUAUCUCUCUCUUAGUGAUAGAACCACAUUGGAAUUUACUUCUAUAAUAUUUAUGUGUAUCUUAUACUAGUCAUAUGACUUGCUUGCUACUUUAAUUUGAUUCUUAUUUAUGAAAUUCGCAAGUUGGAUAAUUGGUUGA